rnacentral:lncRNA from 1 species
UAAAUUUAAUAUUUUUUUAAAAAUAAAUUUUAAAUAAUUAUGAUACUUAUGAAAUAUUUUUAUGUGAUAUAUGGAGUUUUAAGAAAAAAAACUAAGGAUUGAGAGGAGAAAAUAAAAGAAAAAUGGGAAGAAAUAGGAAAAAAGAAGAAGGAAUCUAUACCGCUGACUUGUUAUUGUGCUUUUGUAAGGUGUUGCUUUUUUGUAUUCUGAUGGCCAAAUCUAUAGUAAAGUGAUUGAGCUGCACAUUUUGUUAGUACAGGUGCGUUCUUUCUCUAUCAUCUUCAAAAGUAUGUUUCUUGCUGUCUCACAUUUAGUCUUUAUCAUACCAGCAAUAUGGUAGACAACGACUUUCGUGCCCAUUUUUAUUUCUUCUUACCCUUUUCUUCCCAGCUACAUGACAAACAUCAUUCAACCUUUUUCAAUCUCACCAUCGAUCAUUACACAAUAAUUGCAAAAAUAUGUUUAUACACCACACUAUUUUAUUCCAAGAGGAUUAAUAUUUUUGGAAUAAAAUUAGUUGAUUUCUAAACGUAUAAUUAAGAACGUGAUGUUGUUCCACAUAAACUGGAAGAGAUGAUUAGGAGUAGGGAAUAAAAUCAAAAUCUUUGACUAAGACAAAGGGUUGUUAAUAAAGCAGAGAAAGAUUGCACGAGGUAGAAUUUGUGAACUGUCUUUUUCUCCUUGUCUUCCCGUUUACUGCAGCGACUCCUAAAUUUCAAUGCGCAUGCAAUUGUUCUUGUCUAGUUCAAAAUGUUGACGCUCCUUGUGCCUCGACUCCACACACUAUGCAUCAUCACUUGGAAAAUUCCUUCGGUGUUCCUGAUGUGAAUUAUCAGAACGUUCUUUUCAUGUGAGCAAGAAAAUUAGCAGACAUGGAAAGGACGUGGAAGACACAAAAAUAACACAUUUGAUAUAAGAAAGUUGUAGUGUCAUGAGCCGAAACCCGAUUAUGAUUAAGAACGAUCGUCUAUCCAUUCUUGUAUUUAAGAGUAUUUGAUAACGAAUCAGUGAGAAUUUUGAACGUUUCAGUUUUAGACAGAAGAUAACAUGUAUUAUGCGAAUUAGAUAAUUACAAAAGGAUUAUAGUAAAAUCCUCUGUAUAUAUGGAAUAACACAUAAAAAAGAGAAACAUAUUACAUAUUAGGUUAUGAGUAAACUUAUUUUUU